rnacentral:ncRNA from 3 species
UAAUAUCUUUAAGCGGCUGGGUCGAAAGACUACGAGGCGAAGGUUAUCGAGUUAUCAGCGGGUGCCUUCAGGUUCAUGUAUAAACCUAAAUGAGAUUACAAAUACACAGAGUAUCUCUAAAUACAUUU